rnacentral:lncRNA from 1 species
UCGCGAUGGCAUUUUGCAAAUAAAACCUCGAACUUUUUCAAGUGUCAGCACGCAGUCCGAAUCACCGUCUUCGUCCUCCGUGUCCUCGUCCAUUCCCCUCCACCUCAAAUCACCACCGCCUUGCUCUCCCAGCCCCACGCUGCGCUGCCGCCACGCCAAGCCUGCGCGGACAAGCAUCAACCUACACGUCCGAACCCUGCGCCUGCUAGCCUGAGCGCAGACGCAAGGUUGAAUUUUUCUGCUCGAUGUGCUCUCCGACAACGAUAGAGAAUGUCGGACCAACCCGACCCACCACACUGACGCAUCGGUGAGCUCCUCGAGUGUGAGAGAGCGGCCGCGUCUGUGGGACUAUGCAUACUGCGGGGCAAGAUGGUGAAGAGGGACGGUAUGUAAUUCUUCUUCUCUUUUUCUGUCAUCUUUGUUCAUGCAAAUCAAUCCAUCCUCCGGCCUCGCGAGGCGGGCCGAUUUGGCGGCCGAGGCGGAGGUCGAGGAGCUGCCAGGGGGGUUCAAACCUGUGGCUGUGGACCUGGCAUGGGAGAAAUGAGGGAGGAGAUGGCCACGGACGAGAUUGUGAUUUGGGGCCACAUUGACAAGGUUAGAAUGAAAAAUGGGUCUUCUGUAAAAUGGAUAUGCUAUAUGUGAAUGUGAUCACGUCAGUUAUUUCGGGCCAGAGAGAGUAUAAUAAAAGGAGGUAAGAACAAUACGUGGAGCGGGGAUGGAAUGUGUAAAUAAGAAAUAAAUUGCCAUUAUAUAUUCGUUUGCGGAGUUAUCAUUUUCAUGUGCACUUGUCACGAAGAAGACCAACUUAUUAUACCAAUUGUUGUACAAAUCAUCCUUGUUCGUAUUUUAGUAUGGUCUAACUGAAUGUCAU